GGGAGUUUGGCCGAGUGGUUAAGGCGUUGUGUUUAGGUCUUCUCAAGAAGAACAUCUUGAACCUUUGACCCGCAAUGGGAAACCGCGCAGGUUCGAAUCCUGCAGCUCUCA
rnacentral:tRNA from 1 species